UAGUGUUGUUCAGGAUUCAUGAACAGAACAUCAGUGUAUUUCUAAUAAAAUCUAAGAGAACAAUAAGAAUAAACAAAGAUCAUGUAUGUUUGCUGGAGAAAAUCUGCACAUUGUGGCAAGCAGCAGAUUAACAUCUGGCUCUAACAUCUGAGAGAAAGUGAGGGAGAGAGAGAGAGAGUGAGUGAGAGAGAGAGAGAGAGAGAGAGAGUGAGUGAGUGAGUGAGGGAGAGAGUGAGUGAGUGAGGGAGAGAGAGAGAGAGAGAGAGUGAGGGAGAGAGAGUGAGUGAGGGAGAGAGAGAGAGAGAGUGAGUGAGGGAGAGAGAGAGAGUGAGUGAGUGAGGGAGAGAGAGAGUGAGUGAGGGAGAGAGAGAGACAGAGAGAGAGAGUGAGUGAGGGAGAGAGAGAGAGUGAGUGAGGGAGAGAGACAGAGAGAGAGAGAGUGAGUGAGUGAGGGAGAGAGAGUGAGUGAGGGAGAGAGAGAGAGUGAGUGAGGGAGAGAGACAGAGAGAGAGAGAGUGAGUGAGUGAGGGAGAGAGAGUGAGUGAGGGAGAGAGAGAGAGUGAAGGUAAAUGUGAAUAUGCAGUACAGCACCAGCAGCAUCCCCAAAGAUCCCCAAAUUUACUUUUAAAUUCAUCUACAUUAAGAUCUAAUAUCCAUAAGAAAUUUCUAACACAAAUAAACACUCUCCGAUUAUGGAAAUAAAUGUUGUCUUACAAAUAAGAUUUUUUUCGGAGCCCAAACAAGUCAUCUUAAACAAACCGUAGACGCCUUGGCUUUGCGUUGUAACUCGCAAUGAUUUCAUCAUAAUCCAGACUCAGUAAUCUCACACUCGUGAGAGAGAACGACGAGGUGCUUUAGGCGAGAAGUUGCCAUUGAUGACCGAAUUGAGUCGGCUUUGCAGUCCUUUUGUGGCAAAGACACUGCACUCAAAAAGUUUCCCAAAUGUGACUAACAAAAAAACAAACCUCUUCGUUUGGAUCUGUUGUAGAAGACCGUGUGAUGGCUGUGGCUACUUCCAGUGCAUUCAGCAAG
ensembl:lncRNA